GCCGCCGUCUUCGUUGCUCUUGGGUGGCCGCGGCGCCCGCUCCCUCUGAAUUCGCCGGGCAGGGAUACAGCCGCCCGGGGCCUCUUGCUCGUGCUUGGUUUUCCGGACCUUGCUUCCUAAAGGGUCUUUAGGGGUUCCCGGACUCCUCCGCCUGGGAGCCUCUAUCCGCCUGGGAGCCUCUAUGCGCCCCGCAAAGCCCCCGGCAGAGCCGAGGGGAGGCUUCAUUGGCGACCUGGUGGGGCCUCGCGGCCCUGCUCCCUGACGUCAGCGCCGCCGCGGUGAUUUAACAGCUUUUGUUUUGGGCAGAAGAACCUAUGGGCACAAAAAGCAGGAACGAGUAGCGGUGGCUGAAGAACGAGCAGGAGCUUGAAUUUCAGUUUUCUUAUGAGGAAUUUUCCAGAAAAGAUAUCUUCACUGUGAAAUAACUAAAUAAAUGCCCACUCAGUACAGUCACUGUCUCCCUUUUGGAACUUGAUGGCACCUUAAGCCCAGGUUUGCCUCCACUCUAGAAACUCAUCAGAGUGAUGCCCUUCUCAAAUGGGGGAGGUCCCAAAGCGGAUAUCCUGGCAGUGUGAAAGGCCGGCUAAAGGUUUGUGCCAAGAGGAUCUGUGGAAUGCAUCUCCUACAGCUGGUGCUGCUGAGUAACCACUCUGAUCUGGCAUCUUCUUUGAUCAAGUUACAGAGCAGAGUUUCCAGGGCUGGGGAUUGAAGUCCUGCCUCCUCCCUUUGUCUCUGGUUGUCCUCGGUAAUGUUUUUCCCUCAAGGUACUCAUGAUACUUCCCAUGGGGUGAGUCAGGGACAGGUCUCUUUCCAGGGAAUCCAGGAUGGUAGGGAGGUUGGUUGUCUACCUUGAUCUCACUUUUUCCAUUGUAGAAACUGUGAGUUGGGGAAAGUUUUCCACACACUUGGUGCUGGACAGAUUGUGGCAAGGGGCACCACAGAUAUAAAAAUCUGAUUCUUUUACCAUGCUCAGAGUUUUUUCACUUCUGUGUCCCCAGGAAUUGACUCAUCCUCAUAUCUGAGUUCUGGGAUAUUGUUGGUGAUAAUCUCAGUGCUGUAUAUUUGUUUUUGGUUUUCUGGUGUGGAAGUGAAGCCAGCUUGCGUCUACACUGCCAUUUUUGAACUAGAAGUCCACCUGAUGCCAUGUGGGUCUGCUCUAACAAAGAUGCCUGUAGCUGUCUCUGUAGGUACAAUUGGAGCUACUACCUCAUAAAGUUUGUGGUAGCCCACUAUCUGGUUUUUGGAGGGGCUAGACUGGUAAAUUAAAUGGAGAUACAAUUUGAACCAUCAUCCCCGAAUCUUUUAGGUCUUUUAGGAUGGCAUUAAUUUCUGCCAUUCCCUGAAAUAUUAUUUUUUGAUUUACUGUAUUGGUAUGGAGAAGAGGUCAAUUUUUAAAGCUUCCACCUGGCCACUUGGCCUUUAUCACUAUGUUAGCUCUUACCACACACACCGAGAAACCUGGUGCCACUAAUCAAGUGUAUUUAUCACAAUUAUACACUCAAGGACUAGGUGGGUCUGUGGAUAUAUUGUGAGCCAGACUUGGGCCAGGACACCCUAGGACUUGGCCUCCAUAACCCUUACUCUAAUCAAGGGCAUAUAGUGAGAGUUCUGUGAUAUCAUUGUUAACUCAGACCCUGUUUCCAACAGAUAUCAAAAUGUUGAGUAUUCCCCUUUCACCACUGUAUGAUUUCCUGAGUAAUGGUGAUAGGUCCCUUUGGAGAAGGACUAGAGGAAUCAUUAUUGUGCACACUUGUGGUAUUACACAAUCCUUCCUCCUGGGGACCCAGAUUCUUCUUUAGUUAAUGGGCCUGGAUCCAAAAACGGACUCAGGUCUGGAAAUCGGACAAGGGGUCAUGAUUAUUUUUUAUUUUUAUUUAUUUAUUUAUUUAUUUAUUUUUGAGACAGAGUCUCCCUCUUUAGCCCAGGCUGGAGUGCAGUGGCACAAUCUCUACUCAUGGCAACCUCCAUCUCCUGGGUUCAAGCAAUUCUUUUGCCUCAGCCUCCCGAGUAACUGGAUUACAGGCGCGCACCACCUUGCCCGGCUAAUGUUUGUAUUUUUAGUAGAGACAGGGUUUCACCAUGUUGGCCAGGCUGGUCUUGAACUACUGGCCUCAGGGAAUCCACCCUCCUCGGCCUUCCAAAGUACUAAAUUUAUAGUCAUGAGCCACUGCACCCCGCCAGUUUAACUUUUUUUUAAUUGGCUUAGUUGCCAAGAGAGGAAGUUGGGGAGGAUCCUGAGGAGUGUAUGUUUUGUCCUUGGAGAGAGAGCUCAUUGUCUUCAAGCAAAAGAGGGAGCACACUAGCCCUUAUUAGAGAAGAGAGGGGCACUUCUGUAGCCUUAGAAGGUUCUGGAAACCUGAGGAUUGAAGAUUUUUCAGGUGCAUCAACCCAGAUGGUUUCAUCCCAUGUGUCAGGGUUCCAUUUUUUCCCAAUCAGGGUCCUGACAACAGCACAGUAGACCUGCCUAGCUUGGGUCCUAACUUCUUUGGAGUUUUAUUCUCAUGACUAAGUCCUGGGCCUGGUCCUCAGCUUCCUCUCCUCAUUGGCUUGAGAACCUGAGAGUCUCAUAUUCUACGAGGGAGGCUUUCUGGCCCUCACACUGAGUUUUUGUUUGUUUUUGAGACAAGAUCUUGCUUUGUCACUAAGGCUGAGUGUGUAGUUGCACCCAGGCUGGGAGUGCAGUGGCACAGUAAGCUACUGUAACCUUGAACUCCUGGACCCAAAUUAUCCUCUGGCCUCAGCCUCUUGAGUAACAGAACAACAAAUGCAUGCCACUAUGCCCUGCUGAUUUUAAAUUUUUGUGGAGAUGGGCCUUGCUAUGUUGCCCAGGCUGGUCUUGAAUUCCUGGCCUCAAGCUAUCCUCCCUUUUCAGUCUUCUGAGGCACUGGAAUUACAGGCAUGAGCCACGGCUCUUGGUCCCACACUCAGCUUCUAAUUACCAACUAAUCACUCUCAUUCUUUUAUUUUGAGACAGGGUCUCAUUCUGUAGCUCAAGCUGGAGUACAGUAGUGCAAAUAUAGCUCACUGCAGCCUCAAACUCCUGGGGUCAGGUGAUCUUCUUGCCUCAGCUUCCCAAAUAGCUAGGACUACAGCCACAAGCUACUGGGCAUGGAUAAUUUUUUAAAUAUUUGUAGAGACAGGGUCUCGCUAUGUUGCCCAGGCUGGUCUCAAACUCCUGGCUCAGCCUCCCAAAGUGCUGGGAUUACAAGUGUGAGCCACUAUGCCUGGCCCAUUCUCAUUCUUCUGUUAUCUUUUUCCAAGGUAUCGGUCUAGCUCAGUAAUAACUCUUCAGUUCCACUGUCUACACUGUUUCCCACCUGAUCUUCGUGCCUGCCGGUGCAUUUCUUUGUGUUGACAUGCCAUCUCAGUUCACCACUAGUCAAAGUUUUAAUAACUGCACUGUCAGGGUGUGCUAGCAGUUAACUUCUCCCUGCCCCAGUGAGGAGACUCUCAUCCUAUAAGUGAGAAGGCAAGAGAAAUGGCUCCAAAAGCACACUGGAGCACCUACUUUCCUGCAACCCUUCUGAUACCAAGUAUCACAGAUGCUGAGAUGAAGAUUAGUGGGUAGGAGAUUUGGAUUGCCACCUGUGGAAAGAAAGGAAACUCCACUGGGUGGAGGAAGAAUAUGGACUAUGAUGCAAUCUCAAAGGUGGCCUUAGCUGACACUAAGGGGAACUCUGAAGCUAGGAUGGUCUUUCAGAUUGUUCUAAUAUGGGGCAAUGGGACUAGUCUUUGCAUGCAGCCUGGCCCAAGAAGGAAGUGUGACUUCAGAUGAGGUGGCUCUUUUCACUUAAGAGGGCAAUUCUACUGACAGCUGAGGGCCGUUGGGUGCACACUGCCAGAGCGAGAAAACAAAAUCCUCUGUAGGGAAGGGGACUGUGUGGCAUAUCACAGCACACCCCGAGAACAAGGGAGCGGCUCUUCAUCAAAUAACACAAUAUGGGCCCACAUAUUCCCAGAGGCUGCUAUAGUGCUGGGCACAUUAGUGCUCAAUAACUUAUUGAAUUAGUAUUAUCAUAUUGUGCUAUUGCCAUCCUCAUCUUUUAAAGUCACUUAUCACUUAAUGGAUGUUCUUGUUAGAACUGACACUAUGAAGAUGACUAUGACACAAUUACCUGUUGAGCCUAUUUGAGAAAUUAACCUAUAUUUAACAAGUUUGACUAAUUAGAUUGGUUAAGAGCCUUAGCAGAGGGCUAAACAAAAUGGUGUUAAAGAAUACACCUGAUGGUCCAAGAAAAUCCCUAACUCCCUAGAAGGUCUGGAUAGUCUGAGAAGUGACAUUCGAACAGUGUAAUGCACUUUCCUCCAGAGCCAGAAGCAGGGAAAGCAGAGGCAGCAGCAAUUUUAUCUUCUGGGCACCUUAUCCUCAGACCUCAUUUUAUCAAUACAUACGGACUGUCUACAACCACGUAAUAUCCUUUUCAUCAGCCUUAUGAAAUUUUCCCCCAAUUUAUCCAAGUCAGGAUUUCAGUAUGCAGAAGUCUAAUGUCAUCUUGGAGAGUUCAUUGUGCCUCCCCCAUAUCCAAGACCAUUUACUAAAACCUUAGUUCAGUCUUUAAAGAGUCACAAGAUCCUAUUAUGCCUAGUUUUUUUUCCAGUCUUUUAAGUCUAUUCCUUACCUUGCCAAAAAAGUACCUGUUUCUAUGGUUUAACAAAUGGAGCUUAGAAUAUGGAACUAUGGUAAGUGCUCUUUAGAAUUUAAAAUAAGUUACAUGUACUGGUUUUCCUUUAUUUUGUAGUUUUGUUCUCAAAGAAUUCCAGAUAUGAUUUUUUUCCAGACAAAAAUACCUGCUACAUGCUUCCUUCUGUAUGAAUACAUGAGACCUACCUUCAUUCAUGUUUCCUCUAUGAAGCUUUCCCUGCACUCCAAACACAGAGCUGAGACUUCCACCUAAUGUAGAAAGCUAGCACGAGCCGGCGCUGACAGAUGGAAGACUUGAGAUGUUACAAGAUUAUAUAUGGAAACACAAAAGGAGUGGAGUUGCUGGGUCAUAUGGCAAUUCAUUUGAGGAACUGAGAAGCUUAUUCCAUGGAGGCUGAACUGUUUUAUAUUCCCACCAGCAACGUGUAAGGUUCCAGUUUAUCUACAUCAUCACCAACACUUGCUAUUUUCCAUUUCAUUAAUGAUAGCCAUCCUAGUGGAUUUGAAGUGGUACCUUAUUAUCGUGGUUUUGAUUGCAUUCUCUAUUGACUAAUGAUAUCGAGCAUCUUUUCAUGUAUUUUUUGGUCAUUUGGUCAUUUUUCUUUUUUAAUUUUAAAAUUUUGAGACAGGCUCUCACUAUGUUGCCCAGGUGGUCUCAAACUCCUGGGUUCCAGCGAUGCUCAUGCCUCAGUCUCCCAAAGGGGUGGGAUUACAGGUGUGAGCCACUUUGCCCAGCCCAUUUGUAUAUCUCCUUUGGAGAAUAUCUAGGUUCUUUUGAAGGUAGCUGCAUAUAAACUAGCCAAAUUAACAGACUGUGGUUUUUAGAUGGCUUUCCAUAUCUACAAGAACUAUUUAGUUCUCAAAACUGGGAAGAAAUGUUUCAGAGGCAUCAUUAAUUCAUAAUCUAAAAAUUUAUCUUGGGUUUCCUUUUUUCCCCCAGAUUCUGUAUCCUCCAUAGUCCUAUUCAUGACAUGGGUCGUUCAUCUCUGUAUUCUAAACCCUCAAUGAACUGUAGAC
ensembl:lncRNA CHROMR cholesterol induced regulator of metabolism RNA